rnacentral:rRNA from 1 species
AAGGGCGACUGAACGGGGAGGAGCCCAGCGCGGAACCUCGCGCGCCUGACCGGCUGCGUCUGAGGAAUGUCGCGUUCCGGAGGGGCCUUCUCCGACCACACCGACCCCCCCCAAGUCCGCUUGAACGCGGCCACUGCCCAUGGAGGGUGCGAGGCCCGUACGGGGAUUAGGAGUCGGGCGGUCGGACGGCCCCGUCCGUAGAGUCGGGUUGCCUACUAACGCAGCCCAAAGCAGGUGGUAAA